GGCGCUUUAGCUCAGUUGGUAGAGCAGUGGACUGAAAAUCCAUGUGUCCCCGGUUCAAUUCCGGGAGGUGCCACCA
rnacentral:tRNA from 1 species